GUAACAUGAUUAUGCGCAUGUUAAGUUAAGUUUAUUUUACGUUCGUGCUACCCGUCAGUGGUAUGGUUCCAAUAUUAUUUGUUUUAUUUCUCUUAAUAUACUUCUUAUUGUAUGCUGAACGAGUUUACACCAACUAUGUAUGUAUUUGUCCGUAAAUUGUGUAUUUGAUAUUUGAUGUGAUAAAAAUACUGUAUAAGUAGACUACAAUGGAUUUGUUAAAGAGUAUAGUUUAUGCGGAGUGGCACACGGUUGUUGUGGAGGCCCGCGCGGCCUGAUAUAGACACUGACAGACAGGAGAGUGAGACAAGUGGAGACGGUUUGCUAGCUACGGGUCUCCCUCGUAGGACUCGGGAAUAAGGUCGCCCCUCCUGUUCUAUAGACUGUAAGUGUUAUAACCUUUACAUGAUUAUUGUUCAGGGUUAUCUUCAUAGUAGUUACAAUUUGCUUCAUGUGCUCAACAUUAUUUCUGUACCACUUGUUAUCAAUCAUGGGUUAUUAGUGCCUAUGAUUGUGUUUAUUAAAUUAUACUAAUCAUAUGAUCAGGGAAUGAGAUAUUGACAUGUCUGUGGUUUGUAGGGUUAUGAAAGUGAGACGUCAGUGGAUUACCUAUCAAUUAUCAAAGCACCAGUGACGUAUCCGGCUGUUGGGGAUUCCACGCCAUAGUAUUUUCAACACAACUGACGCUGGCAAUGUUGUGAGUGUUAUGGUUAUUGUGUAUUUGUGUGAUUUUUGUCAUGCUAUGAUUUACAGUGAUAUGUAUGAGGAUUUUCUGAGCUUUAUAAUGAUGUGAGUCACACAGGGUAUUUAUCCAUUGUUUGGGAGGUUUAUCAUAUUGUGAACUGCAGAGAUAUUUUUGUGAUUUCUGUACUUAUUAUACUAUGAGGUACAUGGGAACUAUUCAAGGUCUGAUCAUGUUAUGUAGUGAUUAUUUUUGUAUUUUUAGUGUUUCUACGCUCAUAUGAUUUUACCAUGAUUUGGUAUCGGGCUGAUUUAUCCUGGACCCACAGGUUGGAACGCUACAAUAAAUGUUGCAACACAUUGCUCGCCUGUGGAUUGCCCUAACGCACCAUUCCAACAACACCCACAACCAUGCCCAAGACGGAGGACCUUGAGCGCCGACGGAGACUACGAGGGACAGCCCGUGGAAAGCUAACUAGGAAGUGUAACCUACUCUCUGAGCAAGUGAAGCAGGGUAAGCCAUCUAGCAUUAUUGAGGAUUAUUAUGAGGAAGUAAAGGACGCUUUUCGGGAACUCGAGAGACGACACGAGGAUGUGAUGGACGCAUUAUGUGAGAGUGAUCAAGAGGAGGAGGACUUUAAUGGAAAACUUAAGAAUGAAGAACAGUAUAUAGUUCAGGCAGAAUUGUUGAAGACAGGUGCUUGUGAGACUUUAUUACAGCUAUGUAAAAAGGAAAAGGAGACAGCCUUAACAGAUAGUGCAACUAAGGUUAAGGUGAAGCCAAUAGAACCUCCUAAAUUUGAAGGUGACAUACGCCAAUACCAGACAUUUCGCAGCAACUAUGAUAAAAUAAUGACUGUCAAUUAUGGGGAAAAUGCCUUUGCCUUAAAACAGUGCUUAUCAGGUGAAGCGCUAAGUGUAGUACAUGGAGUAGAUGAUGAUUACAAGGAAAUGUUCCGUCGUCUUGACCAAAGGUAUGCUGAUCCAGUUAGAUUGACAGAUACUGUUAUCAACCAACUGCAAGAAUUAAAGCCAAUUGCUGAAGGCAAUACUGGUAAAUUUGUAGAAACCGUGGAAGUCAUAGAAAAGUGCUGGACUGACAUGAGUAAAAAUAAUUUAGAAGUACAGAUGUCCACUGUAAUUGUGAUAAGCUUAAUUGAGAAAAUACUUCCACCCCAACAAAAAAGAGAGUGGACUAAGAUCUACCAAAAUCUGUCAAAUAAAGUAAAUGCUUUUCCUGAGUUGUUAAAGUAUUUGAAGGAAGAAAAGAAUGUCCUUGAUUAUAUAGACAAAGAUGUUCGUAAGAGGUCACAUAAUUCCAAGGCUACUGUUCAUAGUGUAGAGGUAAAAGAGGAUGACAGUCAAAUUAUGAGAACAUUGCAAAAGUUGCAACUUCAACAAGCAGAACAUCAGGCUAACAUGGAAAGUAUAAUGCAGAAGUUCACUCAAACACUAUCUAGUGGGGGUUCACAGGUUGGACGUCAUAGACAAAACUACGGAAACCCCAACUUUUGUUGGUAUCACAAUUCUGAUUCGCACACUAUCAGUCGCUGUAACACAUUUCAUAAUUUGGAACCCUCAAACAAGAUGGAGGUUUUACGGAAGAACCAUGUUUGUUUUCACUGUUUGGCAAUGGGACACAGUUCUAAGGAUUGUCAGGAAAAACGCAGUUGCUACAUGAAGUUAGGAAAUGGUAAUGUUUGUGGUAAGCCACAUCAUCCGAGACUUCACUAUUUGCUUUAUCAAAAUGAUAUUAAUAUUCACACCAACAAGUCAGAUGGUUGUACUUUGCUGAUGAUUGGUCAAGUUAACUGUAAAGAUGACUCAUUAGUAACUCUUUUUGAUCCCGGCAGUACAAGUAGCUUGGUGACUCAUCGCAAAGCACGGGACUUAGGAUUAUGUGGCACACCAUAUAACAUCACUAUGACAACAGUUGGAAAUGUAAGUGAUACUGUAUUCACUAAAAUGUAUAAAAUGCCUCUUGUAGAUGAGACAGGUAAACAAUAUUUAAUACAAUGUGUAGGAAUGGAUGAAAUCACUUCAGAAGUUAAUCCAGUCCCUAUGGACAUAAUUCUUUCUCAGUUAGGAGUUUCUCAGUCAAUGCAUAUUUUCCGUCCUCAUGGGAGAGUUGAUCUUUUGAUUGGUGCUGACAGUUGUGACAUCAUUCCUACAACUGUUAAAACUGUAGGGAAAUUGCAACUCAUGAAAGGUCCCUUCGGCUAUUGUGUCAGAGGAUCGCACCCAGAACUCAAAAAUGAAUAUACAGAGCACUAUGUGGCUCAAGUAAACCACAUGUCCUUAACAUCUAACACUUUUGAAAUUCAAGGGGAGAUCUGUAGAACUUUUAAGGAGGAUAUAGAUAAUUUGUUUGCAAUGGAUCACCUAGGCACAAAUUGUAGACCCAAAUGUACCAAUUGCAUUAACUGUAAAGACUGCAAUAGAGAGACGCACAUAACUGUAAAGGAAGAAGAAGAAAUGAAAUUGAUUCUCAGUGGACUUGAAUAUCAGGAGAAAGAGAAGACCUGGACUGUACAUUACCCUUGGAUUAAAGAUCCACAUCAUUUGCCGAAUAAUUUUGGGGUAGCACUAAUGAAACUUAAAGGUACGGAAAAGCGACUGAAGAAGUUGGGCAGUAGGUCAACAGAAAAUUACAAGGUACAAAUUGAUGACAUGUUAAAGAGAGGUGUUGCUAGAAAACUAAAUAGGGAGGAGUUAAAUUGGUACAAAGGUCCAGUGCACUAUUUGUCUCAUCAUGAGGUGUUGAAACAAAGUUCAGCUUCCACCCCUACUCGCAUUGUAUUUAAUGCUUCUGCCUCAUAUAAUGGUCAUGUGCUGAAUAAUUAUUGGGCUAAGGGUCCCAAUGUAAUGAACAGUCUUUUUGGUCUUUUACUUAGAUUCAGAGAAGGUUCCAUAGCAUUUGUUGGAGAUAUAGCCAAGAUGUUUAAUAGCAUCAGGUUAUCUGAAUUUGACAGUCACGUACACAGGUUUCUUUGGCGAGACUUUGAGGAUCGGGCCCCAGACCACUAUGCCCUCACAGCAGUUCCCUUUGGAGACAUUUGUAGUCCGGCUAUUGCUAUACUUGCUAUGAGACAAACAGCUGAGAAAUGCAAGGAGGAAUUCCCUGAAGCAGCCAACGUAAUUGUGCAAGAUAGUUACAUGGAUGAUAUCAUACAUAGCAUGAAUGAUACAGAGAAGGCUAGUCAGAUCAUAAAGGAUGUUGAGCUUAUUCUGAACCGUGGAAACUUUCACAUGAAGGAGUGGAUCAUAAGUGGGAAGACCCAAGUUGGAAAUGAUGUGGACUUGUCAGGUAUACCAGGAGAAAAGGUUCUGGGAUUAGUAUGGAACCCUGUAGAAGAUGAAAUAAGUUUCAAGAUGAAAAUGAAAAGUACGUGUAAACAGACUUGCAGUGUUGAAGUUAAGAGUAAUUCCGAUGAACCACAAAAUCCACUAACUAAAAGAAAGGCUCUUAGUUACAUAUCAACAAUAUUUGAUCCCAUGGGGUUUGUUACACCAGUGACUUUACGUGGUAAACUGUUGAUGAGACAAAUCAUUGAGUACAUUGAUGAGAAUGGACGGAAAUUAGACUGGGAUGAUCCUUUACCUGAGGAAUUUAUAGGGAAAUGGUACAAAUUCUGUCAUGAUAUGCAUGAAUUGGGAACUAUUAAAUUGCCUAGAUGCAUUUGUAAUGCUGAAUUAGUUGAACCAACCCUGAUACUGUUUAAUGAUGCGAGCACCCUAGCAUAUUCUGCGUGUGCUUAUGCACGUUGGCGUGUUGGGAAAGAUAAGUAUCAAUCAAAGCUACUUGCAGCCAAAAGCAGACUCGCACCAAUUAAGACACAGACUAUUCCCAGACUGGAGUUGUCCAGUGCAGUUCUUAGUGUUCGCCUCCGCAAUACAAUAAUGAACGAAACUAACAUCAGAUUUGAUCAUGUUCACCACUUUACUGACUCUGAGAUUGUGCUUUCACAAAUAACAAAACACAAUAUUAAGGCUGGAACUUAUGUUGCAAAUAGAAUUGUAGAAAUAAAAGAAAGCUCCUUGAGUAAUGAAUGGCACUGGAUCUCGACUGAAGUAAACAUAGCUGACCUAAUGACCCGUUCAAGUAAAUUUGUUGAUAUGGGUCCAACGUCAUGCUGGCAGUGUGGACCCACUUUCUUAGAAUUACCAUUUUCUCAAUGGCCCAUGAAGUCAAUCUCUCCAACACCAGAGAUAAAGUCCAUCAUUAACACAGCUGAAGUAAACAACUGGCAUAUUAAUGACUGCAAUAUGUUUGACAUAGACAGAUUUAAUUCAUACCGCAAAAUUAUAGGAGUCACUGCAAGAGUUUUGAAUGCCCUUCAUGCGCGUUCUUUCAAGGGAAUCCUGGCAUCACCAACAGUAGAUCAACUUAAACAAGCAGAAAUAUUAUGGAUCAAAAGAGCCCAGAUUUCUUUAACAGACAACUGGGAAAAAAGGUUCAAGCGGUUAGGUCCAUUUUGUAAGGAUGGAAUAAUAUAUGUAGGAUCAAGAAUUGCUGCAUGGCUGAAGAAUAAUUACAAUAAUGAAGCUUUCAUUCUACUUCCCACUAAACAUAGACUCACAGAGGUGUGCAUUAAGGAUAUUCAUGAUAAAGACCAUGGAGGGAUUGAAUCUACUCUAUGUAAACUACAGGCUAAAUUUUGGAUUCCUCAAGCUAGAAAGUUAAUCAAAUCAGUUAAAUCUCGCUGCGUGACAUGCAGACGUUUAGAAAAACAAGUGAUUGGACAAAGCAUGGGACCAGUACCAGAAGAAAGGUUGAAACCUUCACCUCCCUUUUACCAUUCUGCUCUUGAUCUAUUUGGCCCAUUAAUGAUUAAGGAUACAGUCAAAGGAAGAUGUAAAAAAAAGGUGUAUGGUGUUGUAGUAAAUUGUCUCAGCACAAGAGCAUCAUAUGUUGACUUAGUAGAAGGGUAUGAUACUGACAGUCUCAUCACUACUCUUCGUAGGUUUACAGCCAUCAGAGGCUUCCCUCACUCAAUGUAUUCCGACCAUGGUUCACAACUCAAAUUGGCAAGUAAAGAAGUUUGUUUCUUGACUCAAGACCAGGAAAAAUUAUCACAAUUUAGCCGAGAAGGCGGUAUGGAGUGGAAAUUUACAAAAUCUGCUGAUGCUCCAUGGGAGAAUGGGUGCUCAGAAGCUAUGGUAAAAUUGGUGAAGAGAGUUAUGACCAGAGUAAUAGGUGACAGUACAUUGACAUUUGGUGAAUUACAAUCAGCAAUGUUUGAGAUUGCAAAUAUGUUGAACGAGAGACCAAUAGGUAUGAAAAAUGGUUCAGACUGUACUAAGGGAUCUUAUCUUUGUCCAAAUGAUCUAAUACUAGGGCGUGCAAGUGUACACACACCAGAAGGUGUAUUUGACAGCAGUACAAACACAAGGACUCGCCAAAGGUUCAUCAAUGCAAUUGUAAAAUCCUUCUGGAAGAAAUGGAUGAUGCAUUAUUUUUCAACAUUAAUUGUACAACAAAAAUGGCAUUGUGAGAAAAGAAAUCUCCGAGUGGGAGAUAUUGUUUUGGUGCAGGAUAGUAAUAAUUUGAAAGGGCAUUGGAAACUUGCUGAAGUGUGUCAAGUUUUACCGAGUUCUGAUGGUAAGGUUAGAGAUGUACAAAUUAGAUACAAGUUACAAAGCGGAAAUAGCAUGUAUAAGGGUCAUCAAGAUAUAAAGGUUAACAGAUCUGUCCACAAACUUGUGUUGAUACUUCCGAUCGAAGAACAAUAAUUUUAAUUCUUUUUCUUGGGGUGGGGAGUGUAACAUGAUUAUGCGCAUGUUAAGUUAAGUUUAUUUUACGUUCGUGCUACCCGUCAGUGGUAUGGUUCCAAUAUUAUUUGUUUUAUUUCUCUUAAUAUACUUCUUAUUGUAUGCUGAACGAGUUUACACCAACUAUGUAUGUAUUUGUCCGUAAAUUGUGUAUUUGAUAUUUGAUGUGAUAAAAAUACUGUAUAAGUAGACUACAAUGGAUUUGUUAAAGAGUAUAGUUUAUGCGGAGUGGCACACGGUUGUUGUGGAGGCCCGCGCGGCCUGAUAUAGACACUGACAGACAGGAGAGUGAGACAAGUGGAGACGGUUUGCUAGCUACGGGUCUCCCUCGUAGGACUCGGGAAUAAGGUCGCCCCUCCUGUUCUAUAGACUGGUUAUGAAAGUGAGACGUCAGUGGAUUACCUAUCAAUUAUCAAAGCACCAGUGACGUAUCCGGCUGUUGGGGAUUCCACGCCAUAGUAUUUUCAACACAACUGACGCUGGCAAUGUUGUGAGUGUUAUGGUUAUUGUGUAUUUGUGUGAUUUUUGUCAUGCUAUGAUUUACAGUGAUAUGUAUGAGGAUUUUCUGAGCUUUAUAAUGAUGUGAGUCACACAGGGUAUUUAUCCAUUGUUUGGGAGGUUUAUCAUAUUGUGAACUGCAGAGAUAUUUUUGUGAUUUCUGUACUUAUUAUACUAUGAGGUACAUGGGAACUAUUCAAGGUCUGAUCAUGUUAUGUAGUGAUUAUUUUUGUAUUUUUAGUGUUUCUACGCUCAUAUGAUUUUACCAUGAUUUGGUAUCGGGCUGAUUUAUCCUGGACCCACAGGUUGGAACGCUACAAUAAAUGUUGCAACACAUUGCUCGCCUGUGGAUUGCCCUAACGCUACAGUAGUCCAGAGAAUAAAUCUGAGUACAGUCCUUAAG